ensembl:snRNA U1 U1 spliceosomal RNA
AUACUUACCGGGCAGAGAAGAUACUAUGAUCAGAAAGGGAGUUUCCUUAGGGGGAGGCUCAGCUAUUGCACUUUGGCUGUGUUGUUCUCUGCGAAUUCCCCAAACGUGGGAAUCUCGACUGCAUAAUUUCUUGUAGUAGUAAUUUCGCACUUUCUC